UACGAAGGGGGCUAGCGUUGCUCGGAUUGACUGGGCGUAAAGGGCGCGUAGGCGGUUCGUACAGUCAGACGUGAAAUUCCUGGGCUCAACCUGGGGCUGCGUUUGAUACGUGCGGACUUGAGUGCGGAAGAGGGUCGUGGAAUUCCCAGUGUAGAGGUGAAAUUCGUAGAUAUUGGGAAGAACACCGGUGGCGAAGGCGGCGACCUGGUCCGAUACUGACGCUGAGGAGCGAAAGUGUGGGAGCGAACAGG
rnacentral:rRNA from 1 species